rnacentral:ncRNA from 1 species
CGGAACGCGGGAGGCAGAGACGGGUCGCCCGAACGCAGCCGCCGGGGCGGCCCGGAGCCACUGGCGAGACGGGUCCGCGCGGUA